rnacentral:rRNA from 1 species
UACGUAGGGUGCGAGCGUUGUCCGGAUUUAUUGGGCGUAAAGAGCUCGUAGGCGGUUUGUCGCGUCGGCCGUGAAAUCUCCACGCUUAACGUGGAGCGUGCGGUCGAUACGGGCAGACUUGAGUUCGGUAGGGGAGACUGGAAUUCCUGGUGUAGCGGUGAAAUGCGCAGAUAUCAGGAGGAACACCGGUGGCGAAGGCGGUUCUCUGGGAAUGUCCUGACGCUGAGGAGCGAAAGUGUGGGGAGCGAACAGG